rnacentral:misc_RNA from 1 species
AACGCACCUUGCGCCCCUUGGUAUUCCGAGGGGCAUGCCUGUUUGAGUGUCAUUAAAUCAUCAACUCUGAAAACUUUUGUGUUUCUCAGGGCUUGGACUUGGAGUGUGCUGGCCUUCCAGCUCCUCUUCAAAUGCAUAAGUGGAACCUUGCGGAACCAGCUCCGGCGUGAUAACUAUCUACGUCGCAGCGGUGAAGUGGCCGGAUCCGCCUACAACCGUCGCCUGUAUGCGUGCGACAGGGGCUUUUCACACCCCUAUUCUUGACAAUUUGACCUCAAAUCAGGUAGGACUACCCGCUGAACUUAA